GAAGAACGCUGGCGGCGUGCCUAAGGUAUGCAAGUCGAACGCGCUCGACUUCGGUUGAGUGGCGUGGCGAACGGGUGAGUAACGCGUGGGAAUCUGCCUCCAAGAUGGGGAUAACCCCGAGAAAUCGGGGACAAUACCCAAUGGCCCCGAAAGGGUAAAGAUUUAUCGCUUGGAGAUGAGCCCGCGUCCCAUCAGCUAGUUGGUAGGGUAAUGGCCUACCAAGGCUAUGACGGGUAGGGGGCGUGAGAGCGUGUUCCCCCACAAUGGCACUGAGACAAGGGCCAUACACCUACGGGUGGCAGCAAUCGGGAAUUUUGCGCAAUGCCCGAAAGGGUGACGCAGCGACGCCGCGUGGAUGAUGAAGGUCGAAAGAUUGUAAAAUCCUUAAUUCGCCGAGAGGCGGAGGAUUAAGCCCCGGCUAACUACGUGCCAGCAGCAGCGGUAAAACGUAGGGGGCGAGCGUUAUCCGGAUUUAUUGGGCGUAAAGCGUGCGUAGGUGUUUUAGAAAGUCCUGGCUUAAAGCCCGCGGCUCAACUGCGGAAGGCGUCGGGAUACUUCUAGAAUUGAGGAAGGUAGGGGGUGGCGGAACCUUACAAGGAGGGGUGAAAUCCAAUGAUCUGUAAGGGAACACCGAAGGCGAAGGCAGCCACCUAGGCCUUUUCUGACACUAAGGCACGAAAGCUAGGGUAGCAAAGCGGAUUAGAUACCCGUGUAGUCCUAGCCGUAAACGAUGAGCACUAGCUAUUCCCUUUUGGGAGUGGCGUAAGCUAACGCGUUAAGUGCUCCGCCUGGGGAGUACGGCCGCAAGGCUAAAACUCAAAGGAAUUGACGGGGACCCGCACAAGCGGUGGAGCGCGUGGUUUAAUUCGAUGAUAAGCGAAGGACCUUACUAGGGCUUGACAUGCAAGUGGUAGCGAUCCGAAAGGUGAGCGACCCGCAAGGGAGCUUGCACAGGUGUUGCAUGGCUGUCGUCAGCUCGUGGCGUGAGCUGUAUGGUUAAGUCCCAUAACGAGCGCAACCCCUACCGUUAGUUAGAUAUGUCUAACGGGACUGCCUCGGUAACGGGGAGGAAGGUGGGGACGACGUCAAGUCAGCAUGGCCCUUAUGUCCUGGGCGACACACACGCUACAAUGGCGGCUACAACAGGUUGCAAUGCGGUAACGCGGAGCCAAUCCCUAAAAGCCGUCUCAGUUCGGAUUGGGGGCUGCAACUCGCCCCCAUGAAGCUGGAAUCGCUAGUAAUGGCCGGUCAGCCAGACGGCCGUGAAUACGUUCUCGGGUCUUGUACACACCGCCCGUCAGAUGGGGAAAGUUGGGGCUAGCCGAAUCCCGCCUUCGGCGGGGCAAGCUGGAAUCAGCGAUCAACAUC
rnacentral:rRNA from 1 species